rnacentral:rRNA from 1 species
CCUACGGGAGACAGCAGUGAGGAAUAUUGGUCAAUGGGCGCGAGCCUGAACCAGCCAAGUCGCGUGAGGGAAGACGGUCCUAUGGAUUGUAAACCUCUUUUGUCGGGGAGCAAAAGACGCCACGCGUGGCGUUCCGAGAGUACCCGAAGAAAAAGCAUCGGCUAACUCCGUGCCAGCAGCCGCGGUAAUACGUAGGGGGCAAGCGUUAUCCGGAUUUACUGGGGGUAAAGGGAGCGUAGACGGCUGUGCAAGUCUGAAGUGAAAGCCCGUGGCUCAACCGCGGAACUGCUAUGGAAACUGUAUAUCUUGAGUACUGGAGAGGCAGGCGGAAUUCCUAGUGUAGCGGUGAAAUGCGUAGAUAUUAGGAGGAACACCAGUGGCGAAGGCGGCCUGCUGGACAGAAACUGACGUUGAGGCUCGAAAGCGUGGGGAGCAAACAGGAUUAGAUACCCGGGUAGUC